CCUACGGGUGGCUGCAGUGGGGAAUAUUGCACAAUGGGGGAAACCCUGAUCCAGCGACGCCGCGUGAGUGAAGAAGUAUUUCGGUAUGUAAAGCUCUAUCAGCAGGGAAGAACGAAAUGACGGUACCUGACUAAGAAGUCCCGGCUAACUACGUGCCAGAAGCCGGGGUAAUACGUAGGGGGCAAGCGUUAUCCGGAAUUACUGGGUGCAAAGGGAGCGUAGACGGGGAUGCAAGUCUACGGUGAAAGGCGGGGGCCCAACCCGCGGACUGCUUUGGAAACUGUAUGGCUGGAGUGCAGGAGAGGUAAGUGGAAUUCCUAGUGUAGCAGUGAAAUGCGUAGAUAUUAGGAGGAACAUCAGUGGCGAAGGCGGCUUACUGGACUGUAACUGACGUUGAGGCUCGAAAGCGUGGGGAGCAAACAGGAUUAGAUACCCGGGUAGUC
rnacentral:rRNA from 1 species